CUGAAUAUACCAGUUCUCGUUAGAUCACCGAAGUUAAGCAUCAUUGGGCGCGGUCAGUUUUUUGACCACCUGGGAACACUGCGUGCCGUUG
rnacentral:rRNA from 1 species